UGGGGAAUUUUGGACAAUGGGGGAAACCCUGAUCCAGCCAUCCCGCGUGUGCGAUGAAGGCCUUCGGGUUGUAAAGCACUUUUGGCAGGAAAGAAACGUCAUGGGUUAAUACCCUGUGAAACUGACGGUACCUGCAGAAUAAGCACCGGCUAACUACGUGCCAGCAGCCGCGGUAAUACGUAGGGUGCAAGCGAUAAUCGGAAUUACUUGGCGUAAAGCGUGCGCAGGCGGUUCGGAAAGAAAGAUGUGAAAUCCCAGAGCUCAACUUUGGAACUGCAUUUUUAACUACCGGGCUAGAGUGUGUCAGAGGGAGGUGGAAUUCCGCGUGUAGCAGUGAAAUGCGUAGAUAUGCGGAGGAACACCGAUGGCGAAGGCAGCCUCCUGGGAUAACACUGACGCUCAUGCACGAAAGCGUGGGGAGCAAACAGG
rnacentral:rRNA from 1 species